rnacentral:rRNA from 1 species
GCCUUAUAAAAGUAUUAAAGGUGAUGCCUGCCCAGUGGGGUAUAAUAAAAAAUUAUAAUAAAAUUUUAUUUACCUUAAACGGAUGCGGUAACUCUGACUGUAAUAAAGUAGCAUAAUUAAUUGUCAUUUAAUUGGUGAAGAGAAUGAAUGGCUAAACGUAUGUCUCAUUGUCUUGGGAGAAAGUUUUUGAAAUUAGAAUAAUAGUGAAGAUCCUAUUUAAUACCGUUAGACGAAAAGACCCUAUAGAGCUUGACUAUAAUUUGGAAAUGAUUUUCUAGGUUGGUAGUUUAGUUGGGGCGACUAUCUUUUAGAAUAAACAAAGAUAAGCAUGAUAAUGAAAAUUUUUAUUGUUUAAUUAAUAAAUUUAACAAUUACUAAUGUAGGCUAUAAUGACCCAUUAGAAUUAAAAUAAAUCUAAUGAUUAAUAAAUAAAAGCUACCUUAGGGAUAACAGGAUAAUUUUGUUUUAGAGAUCAUAUCAAAUACAAAGUUUGUCACCUCUAUGUUGAAUUAAGAUAACCGAAUAAUGCAGAAGUUAUUUAAGGUAGGUCUGUUCGACCUUUAAAAUCUU